rnacentral:rRNA from 1 species
GACGAACGCUGGCGGCGUGCUUAACACAUGCAAGUCGAACGGAAAGGCCCUGCUUUUGCGGGGUCCUCGAGUGGCGAACGGGUGAGUAACACGUGAGUAACCUGCCCUUGACUUUGGGAUAACUUCAUGAAACUGGGGCUAAUACCGGAUAGGAGCUCCUGCUGCAUGGUGGGGGUUGGAAAGUUUCGGCGGUUGGGGAUGGACUCGCGGCUUAUCAGCUUGUUGGUGGGGUAGUGGCUUACCAAGGCUUUGACGGGUAGCCGGCCUGAGAGGGUGACCGGCCACAGUGGGACUGGGAUACGGCCCAGACUCCUACGGGAGGGAGCAGUGGGGGAUAUUGCACAAUGGGCGGAAGCCUGAUGCAGCAACGCCGCGUGCGGGAUGGCGGCCUUCGGGUUGUAAACCGCUUUCGCCUGUGACGAAGCGUGAGUGACGGUAAUGGGUAAAGAAGCACCGGCUAACUACGUG